ensembl:lncRNA
AGUCAACAGAACUGAGGAUCACUUCAUGUGUUAGUAUCCAAAUACCAAGAUCUCCUGAAUUGGCCUUAACAGCAGAUGUUUGUGUCAGAUUUAUGGACACUAGGCAGGUAGUCUAGUGGUUAGAGGAGGCAGGUAGUCUAGUGGUUAGAGGGGGGUGACAGGUAGUCUAGUGGUUAGAGGGGGGUGACAGGUAGCCUAGUGGUUAGAGGGGGUGACAGGUAGCCUAGUGGUUAGAGGGGGGUGACAGGUAGCCUAGUGGUUAGAGGGGGGUGACAGGUAGCCUAGUGGUUAGAGGGGGGUGACAGGUAGCCUAGUGGUUAGAGCGUUGGACUAGUAACCGAAAGGUUUCUAGUUCAAAUCCCCGAGCUGACGAGGUAAAAUCUGUCGUUCUUCCCCUGAACAAGGCAGUUAACCCACUGUUCCUAGACCAGUUAACCCACUGUUCCUAGACCAGUUAACCCACUGUUCCUAGACCAGUUAACCCACUGUUCCUAGACCAGUUAACCCACUGUUCC